ensembl:lncRNA
CUGGCCUGUUUGAGAAAUUUGGUUGUUCCUCUCUAAUCCUGAUUGUUCAUAAAGUCAGAUAAACGGCUUAGUUUAAGCUUGGUGGAGUGGAACUUUACCAUGAGUGACUUCGUUUUUAUUUUUAGCCUGAUCUGUUGGAAUGUAAGUGCAGGAGCCUAGUAUAAAACAUCGGCCUCUUAUAUUUUUUAUUUAAUAAGAGGUACCCCUUGCCCUGGGGAAGCAGACAAUCGAACAAAUGAGUAAGUUAAUUGUAGAAAAAAAUGAUGUGGCUGAAACAAUCAGGGGCUUAGAUAAUGGACAGGAGAGAUGGAAACGUCACCUGUAGAUAAAGUCAUGGAAAGCAUGAUCGAAGCCAAAGAACAGCGAUUACAAAAGCUCGGAGAGGGAAAAGAAUAUGGAUCUCACUAUGUCACUAACUUGCCCAGACUGGGCUCAAACGCAGAGAAGUCUGAUAAUGUGAGAAAUCACGCCAUGAGGAGUCCUGGAUAGCCAGGGAAAAGACCAUGUGAAGAGAGUCUGUGGCCCAGCCUCCCCGCCGAGGACUUGUGUGCAGAAGCCAGCUUGGGUGGCUGUGCUCAGUCAGGACUUCCACAGACUGCACCCCCAGCGCCUCUGAUUGCAACUGCGUGAGCGCCGGUACAUGGGAACCAUUCAGCAAAGCCCCACUCAUCUUCACAGCUCUGAGAAAUAAUCAUAAACUGUGUUAAGUCGUUAAAUUCUGAAGUUAUUUGUUGCUGUGGUUGGGAUACAUGUUCCCCAGAGGUCAUGGGUUACAGGUCUAUCCCCAGCUUGGAACUACUGGGAGGCAGUGGAAACUGUAAGACCCAGGGCCUGGUGGGAGGUCAUUAGUCUUGUGGCUGUGGCCUUCAAGGGAAUUCAACGACAGUCCCUUCUUCUUCCUCCCUUUCACUUCCUGUCCAGUGCCACACACUCCCCACCACUGCCAUCUGCCAGCAGAGGCCUAAAAGUAACAGAUCCGCCUGAUUAUGGACUGGGACCAGAAUAAACAGC